ensembl:lncRNA
AAACCCCACAGCCAGGGGUCAGUCAACUAGGGGUGGCCCCUCUGCCCGAGAGCCUGCUGAAAUUAUUCAAACCAGGAACCCUAGGCCUGCUUACCCUGCCCCAUCUGCUUCUUCCUACGGAAACCACGAUAAAGGCUCCUGCCCACACUUGCCCGCCCUCUGCCUCCUGGCUGCCCCUGCUGCUUCCCCAUGUGGCCUGCAUGGCGUGGCGUGACCCCUCCUCCUGGGAACUCUGAGGAGCAAACUACCUUCCCAUGGAAAUCACCUUCAGAUCUGUUGGCCUAUUUGUCAAGCUUUCCAUUAAUUUGCCAUCUUUUCAAACAUGAGCAGCCGGCCUCUGGCAAUGGUGAGGGGGCAGCAAGGUCCAUGGUGCUGGGUGUUGGCUGCGAGAGGGCUGAGAAGUGGACCGAGGAUUCGAUCCCCCACGCUUGUCACUGCUUCUCCUUCCCUUGCUGGACGAUAAGGCUCCAAGGGCAGAAACUGGGAGAAUCCACUGUGUUUUGCAAAGGUUAGCCAGCACCCGGAACACACGCACUUUUUGAAUGGACACCAGACAAUCAAGUAUGAACGGGAGGCCCGACAAUCUCGGCACCUGACUCGCUCGGAUGAGGUGGUGUUGCUUCCCAGACAGCUGAGAAAGUGUCCUGGUUCCACAGCUGGCAUUUUUUCCCCCAUAUAUAUAUAUAUAUAUAUUUCUUUUUUGAGGAAGAUUAGCCCUGAGCUAACAUCCGCUGCCAAUCCUCCUCUUUUUGCUGAGGAAGACUGACCCUGAGCUCACAUCUGUGCCCAUCUUCCUCUACUUUAUAUGUGGGAUGCCUACCACAGCAUGGCUUUUUGCCAAGCGGUGCCGUGUUGGCACCCGGGAUCUGAACUGGCGAACCCCGGGCCGCCGAAGCGGAACGUACGAACUUAACCGCCACAGCUGGCAUUUUGACCCAGAUUUGGAAAGAGACGAAAAGGGCAUGUUUCCAUGUGUGGCUUCCACUCUCUCGUUUUCUCGAAGUCUUUGUCUGACCUUCAAGGACGCUGCGAUCCCGCUUGGCACCUGUCGGACGUGCUGUGACAGGCGUUUCCAACUUCUCUAUUUUGGGGUUUUGGCAGCACCGCCUCCCCACCCAUCGACUCUCCACUCAAUCUGUUCCCGCAGGCAGAGAAGUUUUGACUUGUCCCGUGGCUCCGGGGCCCCUGGUUUGUCUUGCAGAUGCCUCCGCGUGGACAUCCUUGUUUUACUUCAAUUUUUUUCUCACCAGCUUCAAAAUAUUCUAACAACUCACAUUCCAGAGGUAGCUGCAGUCACCCUGACCCUUCGCUCCCAAACACUUCACUGUUUAUCUCCCAAGGACCAGGACAUUCUCUUACGCAGCUGCGACAUAGUGAUCAACUUCAAGAUUUCAACUUCAAUUUAAGAUUGAUAGACUUCUAUUAUCCAGUAUAUAGUCUAUAUUCAAAUUUUGCCAAGUGACUGGGUGAUUUUGUAAAAACUUUAAGAACAGAUAGUUUUCAUUCAUCUCCAAGCUGCGGAAACAGUCCACAGAGCACGGGAUCCCUUCACCUGCUUCCCCAACGGUCACAACACCGCUGAGCUGUCUGAGAGCCAGUUGCAGACACAUUGCCUGUCUCUCCUUGAUGCUUCAGCGUGUGCUUCCAAGAGUGAAGCCCGAGAAGACGCUCCUGCAAACCACGGCUCAACUGUCGACACUAGGAGGGCGAGUUUGCUCCCAUACGGCCAUCUGACCACACUGCGCCGUCGGCCCCAUCAGUGUCCUCAGGGAAAAGGGCCCAGUUCAGAGUCCUGUGCCGCCCUGUCGGGUCCCCUCAGUCUCCCGGCCGCGGCUGGUGUGCCCGUGCUUCAUCACCUCCCAGGACUUGAUUCUUUCGAACAGCUGGCCUGAACGCUCUGUGGCAUGUCCCGUGGUUUCAGUUGUCUGAUGUUUCCACUUCGGGCAGGAACAUGGUGGGAACGAUGCUGCGCCAGCCUCUGUGCGUGGCUGGGGGGUUUGCCAGGAUGUGGGGUCAGUGAUCUUUGAGGAACAUUCACCCUGGGGUGGCUUUUCCCCUGGGGACGUUCGCAAAGUCUGGAGACAUUUUUAAUUGUCGUGAAUGGGGGCAGGAGAGCGUCACCUGGUGGGUGGAGGCCAGGGACACUGUGCACAUCCCAUAACACAUGGGACGGCCCCAUGCAAAGAAUGAUCCGGACUCACUGCCCUGAGGCUGAGAAACCCUGGUCUCUGCUUCCAGGAACCCUGCAGAGCACCAUACCCCCGAAAGGCCCGGAUGUUAGUGCUGUCCCACGUGACUCAGGAUUAGUGAAAGCACACAGGCUUGGGGCGUGGGGACUGUAAGGUCUGUGGAUGGAGAGAAUUCUAGAGGACUAAGGAAUGGGGCCUGAACUUCAACAGGAUACAAUAGAGAGGGAGAGGAAAACAAAAACCUAUAUAUAAAAGAGUCAGUGUUGAGAUAUUCCAAAGUUAGCUACUACAAAGCAAGUUUAUAUCCAUUCCUUCAACAAGUAUGUGUUCUGUGCCUACUAUGUGCCAGGUGCUGGAGAUAUAGCAGCGAGUAAACAAAGUUCCUGUCCUCACGGGGCUUCAAUUCAAAUGAGGGGGGUGGACAAUAAAUACAAAACCUAAGUUUGUUAAAUGACGGCAAGUGCUGUGGACAAAUAAUCUGGAUCAGGCUUCGA